UCCAGGCAAAUCCGGAUAAUCAAGGCUGAGGUGUGAUGACGAGGCACUACGGUGCUGAAGUAACAAAUGCCCUGCUUCCAGGAAAAGCCUCUAAGCAUCAGGUAACAUUAAAUCGUACCCCAAACCGACACAGGUGGUCAGGUAGAGAAUACCAAGGCGCUUGAGAGAACUCGGGUGAAGGAACUAGGCAAAAUGGUGCCGUAACUUCGGGAGAAGGCACGCUGGUGUGUAGGUGAAGCCCCUGCGGGUGGAGCUGAGACCAGUCGAAGAUACCAGCUGGCUGCAACUGUUUAUUAAAAACACAGCACUGUGCAAACACGAAAGUGGACGUAUACGGUGUGACGCCUGCCCGGUGCCGGAAGGUUAAUUGAUGGGGUUAUCCGUAAGGAGAAGCUCUUGAUCGAAGCCCCGGUAAACGGCGGCCGUAACUAUAACGGUCCUAAGGUAGCGAAAUUCCUUGUCGGGUAAGUUCCGACCUGCACGAAUGGCGUAAUGAUGGCCAGGCUGUCUCCACCCGAGACUCAGUGAAAUUGAACUCGCUGUGAAGAUGCAGUGUACCCGCGGCAAGACGGAAAGACCCCGUGAACCUUUACUAUAGCUUGACACUGAACAUUGAGCCUUGAUGUGUAGGAUAGGUGGGAGGCUUUGAAGCGUGGACGCCAGUCUGCGUGGAGCCAACCUUGAAAUACCACCCUUUAAUGUUUGAUGUUCUAACGUUGGCCCCUGACCGGGGUUGCGGACAGUGUCUGGUGGGUAGUUUGACUGGGGCGGUCUCCUCCCAAAGCGUAACGGAGGAGCACGAAGGUUAGCUAAUCCUGGUCGGACAUCAGGAGGUUAGUGCAAUGGCAUAAGCUAGCUUGACUGCGAGCGUGACGGCGCGAGCAGGUGCGAAAGCAGGUCAUAGUGAUCCGGUGGUUCUGAAUGGAAGGGCCAUCGCUCAACGGAUAAAAGGUACUCCGGGGAUAACAGGCUGAUACCGCCCAAGAGUUCAUAUCGACGGCGGUGUUUGGCACCUCGAUGUCGGCUCAUCACAUCCUGGGGCUGAAGUAGGUCCCAAGGGUAUGGCUGUUCGCCAUUUAAAGUGGUACGCGAGCUGGGUUUAGAACGUCGUGAGACAGUUCGGUCCCUAUCUGCCGUGGGCGCUGGAGAAUUGAGGGGGGCUGCUCCUAGUACGAGAGGACCGGAGUGGACGCAUCACUGGUGUUCGGGUUGUCAUGCCAAUGGCACUGCCCGGUAGCUAAAUGCGGAAGAGAUAAGUGCUGAAAGCAUCUAAGCACGAAACUUGCCCCGAGAUGAGUUCUCCCUGAGACUUUAAGUCUCCUGAAGGAACGUUGAAGACGACGACGUUGAUAGGCCGGGUGUGUAAGCGCAGCGAUGCGUUGAGCUAACCGGUACUAAUGAACCGUGAGGCUUAACC
rnacentral:rRNA from 1 species